UACGUAGGGUGCAAGCGUUGUCCGGAAUUAUUGGGCGUAAAGAGCUCGUAGGCGGCCGUUCGCGUCGGAUGUGAAAGCUCAGGGCUCAACCCUGAGACGCCAUUCGAUACGGGACGGCUAGAGGUAGGUAGGGGAAAGUGGAAUUCCUGGUGUAGCGGUGAAAUGCGCAGAUAUCGAGAGGAACACCUGCGGCGAAGGCGGGUUGCUGGGCUGACACUGACGCUGAGGCGCGAAAGCCAGGGGAGCGAACGGG
rnacentral:rRNA from 1 species